CAAAAAUGAUAAUGCCGGCAAGGGGACAGGCAAUGCUAGCGGCUCCAGCGGCAGCGACGGUGAGGAUGCCAACAAUGAGGAGGGCGACAACACUAGCAGCAACGACAAUGAUCCCAAAUCCAACGUGUCUCCUCCCUCGAAGCGUCGUAGGGUCGAGUAGCUGGUAGGAACUCCUUACGGUAACAGUAGUACUUUCGGAAUAGUAAUACUUUUGGUGAUGUUAUCCUACCUUGGCUAAUAGAUUGGCGAUGUAAAGAACACAAUCGCACUUAACAUGUUUAAUUACUGCUUUUCUAUCUAUUUCAAUUCCCGUGUGCUUCUCAAAUUUUUAGAGUUGAUGACAGCGCAUCGGCUUCUCCCUCCUCUGUUGCUAGUCGAUAUAGAUGUGAUAGCUUCUUUAGGGCAGCCAGAGUGGAUUUGGGUUUGCACCCCACCAUUCCCGCUCAAAAUUUGGUUUCGUGGUCCUUUCCUGAAUUCGAGCGACGAUUUGGUAUUCAACCUCGAUUUCAUCCCAAACCUUCCUUUGGGGUGUGAAUCUAAACUUGUAGAGAG
rnacentral:lncRNA from 7 species